UGGGGAAUAUUGGACAAUGGGCGCAAGCCUGAUCCAGCAAUGCCGCGUGGGUGAAGACGGCCUGCGGGUUGUAAAGCCCUUUAGGCGGGGAGGAACGACCGGAUGCCAAUACCAUCUGGAAGGGACGUUACCCGCGGAAUAAGCACCGGCUAACUCCGUGCCAGCAGCCGCGGUAAUACGGAGGGUGCGAGCGUUAAUCGGAAUUACUGGGCGUAAAGCGUGCGUAGGCGGAGAGGUCAGUCGGUCGUGAAAGCCCCGGGCUCAACCUGGGAACGGCGGUCGAGACGGCCUGUCUGGAGUGGGCUAGAGGAUCGUGGAAUUCCGGGUGUAGCGGUGAAAUGCGUAGAGAUCCGGAGGAACACCGAUGGCGAAGGCAGCGAUCUGGGGCCACACUGACGCU
rnacentral:rRNA from 1 species